CGGUUGCGAAUUACUUCACCAAUGAUGAUGACUCAUAUGUGAAAAAUGACAUGGAGUAGUAGUGAGCUCCAACGUCGAGUGUGGACCAUAAGGUGAAUACUAAAAUGGAUCAUGAUAAAGAGAAGUCUACUAAUGUUAAUGCUAGAGUAGGAGACAAGGGGGUACCAACAUGGGAGGACCCAUGGUGUUUGAUGAACAACUUGGCAAAGAAAAAAGGGUUAAACAACCUUAUAUUCGUUUAAAGGAUUAUGUG
rnacentral:lncRNA from 1 species